AGAGUUUGAUCCUGGCUCAGAAUCAACGCUGGCGGCGCGCUUAACACAUGCAAGUCGCACGAGAAAGGGGGCAACCCUGAGUAAAGUGGCGUACGGGUGAGUAACACGUGGAUCAUCUACCUUCUAGUGGGGAAUACCUCCGGGAAACUGGAGACAAUACCGCAUAAGCUCGUAAGAGGAAAGCAGCAAUGCGCUGGAAGAGGAGUCCGCGGCUGAUUAGCUAGUUGGUGAGGUAACGGCCCACCAAGGCGAAGAUCGGUAGCCGGCCUGAGAGGGCACACGGCCACACUGGCACUGAAACACGGGCCAGACUCCUACGGGAGGCAGCAGUGGGGAAUCUUGCACAAUGGAGGAAACUCUGAUGCAGCGAUGCCGCGUGAGCGAUGAAGCCCUUCGGGGUGUAAAGCUCUUUCGACGGGAACGAUAAUGACGGUACCCGAAGAAGAAGCUGCGGCUAACUACGUGCCAGCAGCCGCGGUAAUACGUAGGCAGCGAGCGUUGUUCGGAAUUACUGGGCGUAAAGAGUGUGUAGGCGGUGCUCUAAGUCUGUUGUGAAAUCUCCCGGCAUAACUGGGAGGGUGCGGCGGAAACUGGAGUGCUUGAGGGUGGGAGAGGAAAGCGGAAUUCCUGGUGUAGCGGUGAAAUGCGUAGAUAUCAGGAGGAACACCUGCGGUGUAGACAGCUUUCUGGACCACUUCUGACGCUGAGACACGAAAGCGUGGGUAGCAAACAGGAUUAGAUACCCUGGUAGUCCACGCCCUAAACGAUGCAUACUUGGUGUGAGCCAUUCAUUUGGUUCGUGCCGGAGCUAACGCGUUAAGUAUGCCGCCUGGGGAGUACGGUCGCAAGGCUGAAACUCAAGGAAUUGACGGGGGCCCGCACAAGCGGUGGAGCAUGUGGUUCAAUUCGACGCAACGCGAGAACCUUACCUGGGCUCGAACGGCUUAAGACAAUUCCUGGAAACAGGGACUUCCCGCAAGGGAC
rnacentral:rRNA from 1 species